AGCUAGAGCCCUUCUUUUCCAAAUAAAUGUUCUUAAACAAUUUUGGGCUGAUUCAGUUACUACAGCAUGUUUUUUGAUCAAUCAUAUGCCAUCUUCUGUUGUUGAUAGGAAUAUUCCUUAUACUGUCUUAUUUCCCUCUAAAUCCUUGUUUCCUAUUGAACCUCGUAUUUUUUGAUGUACUUGUUUUGUGCGUGAUGUUUGAACACAGGUAAUCAAAUUGGAUCCAACAUCUUUUAAGGGUAUCUUUCUUGGGUACUCUAGGCUCCAAAAGGGAUACAAGUGUUUUUCUUCAACUCUUAAUUGUUAUGUUGUGUCUGCAGAUGUUAAAUUUUUUUAGUCUACUCCAUUUUUCUCACAAACUUUUGUGUAUGAAGAUCAGGAGGAGGAGGAUAAUCUCUUAAUAUGCAUUAUUCAAUCAACGUCCAUCUCUCCCCAGUCUCCUCAGUCUCAUAUGCCUUUUGCACCAGCAACAGUUAGACCGCCUGUUAUUCAUGUUUAUUCUAGGAGAAAUAAGAACACUGACUCAGACCCUCCACCAGCUUCUUUGUCUGAAGAAUACUAUUCCCACCAUUGAUCCUCAAUCCGACUUAGAGCUUCCUAUUGCUCUUCGUAAAGGUAAACGUACAUGCACCUACCCUAUUUCCUCUUUGGUUUCUUAUGAUCAUUUAUCUUCUUCUUCUCAGUGCUUUAUUAGCCAUUUAGACUCUAUCUCUAUUCCUAAAACUAUUACUGAGACAUUAACUCAUCCUGGUUGGUGUACUGC
rnacentral:misc_RNA from 1 species